CCUACGGGUGGCAGCAGUGAGGAAUAUUGGUCAAUGGACGCAAGCCUGAACCAGCCAUGUAGCGUGAAGGAUGACUGCCCUACGGGUUGUAAACUUCUUUUGUACAGGGGUAAAGUUAGACACGUGUGCCUUUUUGUAUGUACUUUAUGAAUAAGGAUCGGCUAACUCCGUGCCAGCAGCCGCGGUAAUACGGAGGAUCCGAGCGUUAUCCGGAUUUAUUGGGUUUAAAGGGUGCGUAGAUGGGUUGUUAAGUCAGUUGUGAAAUUUUCGGGCUUAACCGUGAAAUUGCAAUUGAUACUGGCAGUCUUGAGAACAGGUGAGGUAGGCGGAAUGUGUGGUGUAGCGGUGAAAUGCUUAGAGAUCAUGAAGAACGCCGAUUGCGAAGGCAGCUUACCAAACUGUAACUGACAUUGAUGCUCGAAAGUGUGGGUAGCAAACAGGAUUAGAUACCCUUGUAGUC
rnacentral:rRNA from 1 species